rnacentral:misc_RNA from 1 species
GAAAUGCGAUAAGUAAUGUGAAUUGCAGAAUUCAGUGAAUCAUCGAAUCUUUGAACGCACCUUGCGCCCUCUGGUAUUCCGGAGAGCAUGCCUGUUUGAGUGUCAUGUAGACUCAACCUCCCUGGUUUAUGAUCGGGAUGGGUUGGAUGUGGGCGCUGCCGAUUGCCGGCUCGCCUUAAAUGUCUUAGCGGCUUCUGAAGCCCCAACCUGGCGUAAUAAGUUUCGCUGGAGAGGGUGCGGAUGACUGCUUACAAUCGCCCUUGGGCAACUUUUUGACUCUGGCCUCAAAUCAGGUAGGACUACCCGCUGAACUUAA